GACGUAGGAGGCGAGCGUUGUCCGGAUUCAUUGGGCGUAAAGGGCUCGUAGGCGGCCAACUAAGUCGGAUGUGAAAUCCCCAAGCUUAACUUGGGAACUGCAUCCGAUACUGGAUGGCUUGAAUCCGGGAGAGGGAUGCAGAAUUCCAGGUGUAGCGGUGAAAUGCGUAGAUAUCUGGAGGAAUACCGGUGGCGAAGGCGGCAUCCUGGACCGGCAUUGACGCUGAGGAGCGAAAGCUAGGGGAGCGAACGGG
rnacentral:rRNA from 1 species